rnacentral:rRNA from 1 species
AGUGAACGCUGGCGGUAGGCCUAACACAUGCAAGUCGAACGGCAGCACAGUAAGAGCUUGCUCUUACGGGUGGCGAGUGGCGGACGGGUGAGGAAUACAUCGGAAUCUACUUUUUCGUGGGGGAUAACGUAGGGAAACUUACGCUAAUACCGCAUACGACCUACGGGUGAAAGCAGGGGAUCUUCGGACCUUGCGCGAUUGAAUGAGCCGAUGUCGGAUUAGCUAGUUGGCGGGGUAAAGGCCCACCAAGGCGACGAUCCGUAGCUGGUCUGAGAGGAUGACAGGCCAACUGGAAAUGAGACAAGGGCCCAAAUCCUAAGGGAGGCAGGAGUGGGGAAUAUUGGACAAUGGGGGGAAGCCUGAUCCAGCCAAAACGCGUGGGUGAAGAAGGCCUUCGGGUUGUAAAGCCCUUUUGUUGGGAAAGAAAAGCAGCAGGUUAAUACCCCGCUGUUCUGACGGUACCCAAAGAAUAAGCAACGGCUAAAUUCGUG